CGCCCCUUCCUCAGCCCUUCCUUGUGGACUAGUCGCGCCGCCGCCGAGGCCCGCCCCACUGGCCGUGGAGCCUGAAGGGGCGGAGAAGAGCGCCUAUGCGCAAGCGCAGUCGAGUGCGCUCGCGUUUUAGUCCUAGACUGGAGUGCAGCAAAGAGAUGUUCAUCAUCGUGAUAUGGCAUAAAUGACACAAGCUGGCAGUCAGCUGGAAGAUAAAGCAAACUGAUGAGGUGUCACCCCUUCCUAGGGAGAUGAAUGGGAUCACUCCAGUGUCAGAUCUGAUAGCCAUCUCUUUGGCUGACCACCUGAAGAAGUGGGUGGUUUGGAUUUAGAGGCCAUGUUACAUGAAAAAAAUGUGCAUCUUUGAACUUUAGAAUCACACUCACUAUGGCCAAAUG